rnacentral:rRNA from 1 species
UUCGCAGGCGGUUUUUAAGUCAGGUGUGAAAGCCAUAGGCUCAACCUAUGUAAGCACUUGAAACUGAAAGACUUGAGUUAAGGAGAGGAAAGUGGAAUUCCUAGUGUAGCGGUGAAAUGCGUAGAUAUUAGGAGGAAUACCAGUGGCGAAGGCGACUUUCUGGACUUAUACUGACGCUGAGGAACGAAAGCGUGGGAGCAAACA